rnacentral:lncRNA from 1 species
AGCAGCUAUGCCUGUUGCAUGCAAACGGCGGAGUGACAAGCGAUGCACACCUAAUCGGAGAGUGAGUUUCUCGUCCGAUGUGGAAACUUUGGCCCGAAAUCGUUUUGUUUUCUGCGAUAUUUCCCUCUGUGACGUUCUGUGGCAGCGAUGGUAGAAUCUGUGGUCCCAGAAGGGCAACUCUCACUUAUGCCGACAGCCGGCAGAGCCCUUCCAUUAACUUCUUCGGCCUCUUGUUAGAUUGUCAAUCAACUUCAACGUCACGUCGCACGCUCCUCGAUAAGGGGGAUCUGGCAACAAAGGCUGAAUUGAAAUUACGGUUACGCCCACAUAUUGCUCUCCACAGCAGUGCACUGAAUGCAUCCAAUUCAGGGGAAUGGGGAGUGGGAGCUGUCUGUCAUUGGUAGUCGGGGCGAUUCCGAAGACGUGGCCGGGCAGCAAUUGAACGGUCGCUGGCUCCGCCGCUUAUUGUUAUCAACGAUUGCUGUAAUUUCUGUUUCUGUUGCUG